GCUCUCACUCCAGGAUGAGCCCACGUCCGAUUAGCUAGUUGGUAGGGUAAAGGCCUACCAAGGCCACGAUCGGUAGCUGGUCUGAGAGGAUGAUCAGCCACACUGGGACUGAGACACGGCCCAGACUCCUACGGGAGGCAGCAGUGGGGAAUAUUGGACAAUGGGCGCAAGCCUGAUCCGGCAAUGCCGCGUGUGUGAAGAAGGCCUGCGGGGUUGUAAAGCACUUUCAGUGGGGAAGAACAGAUUCGGGUCAAUACCCCGGAGCCCUGACGUUACCCACAGAAGAAGCACCGGCUAACUCCGUG
rnacentral:rRNA from 1 species